ACCUCUCGCAAGAGAGGGGAAGGCCGAGUGGCGAACGGGUGAGUAACACGUGAGCAACCUGCCCCGAAGUCUGGGAUAACACCGGGAAACCGGUGCUAAUACCGGAUGUCCCCACCGGAUCGCAUGGUCUGGUGAGGAAAGUUUUUCGCUUCGGGAGGGGCUCGCGGGCUAUCAGCUUGUUGGCGGGGUAACGGCCCACCAAGGCGACGACGGCUAGCUGGUCUGAGAGGACGACCAGCCACACUGGGACUGAGACACGGCCCAGACUCCUACGGGAGGCAGCAGUGGGGAAUCUUGCGCAAUGGGCGAAAGCCUGACGCAGCAACGCCGCGUGCGGGAUGAAGGCCUUCGGGUUGUAAACCGCUUUCAGCAGGGACGAAAUUGACGGUACCUGCAGAAGAAGCACCGGCCAGCUACGUGCCAGCAGCCGCGGUAAUACGUAGGGUGCAAGCGUUGUCCGGAUUUAUUGGGCGUAAAGAGCUCGUAGGCGGUUUAGCAAGUCGGGUGUGAAAACUACAGGCUCAACCUGUAGAUGCCACUCGAGACUGCUAUGACUUGAGUCUGGUAGGGGAGCACGGAAUUCCUGGUGUAGCGGUGAAAUGCGCAGAUAUCAGGAGGAACACCGGUGGCGAAGGCGGUGCUCUGGGCCAGUACUGACGCUGAGGAGCGAAAGCGUGGGUAGCAAACAGGAUUAGAUACCC
rnacentral:rRNA from 1 species